CAGCAGCCGCGGGAAUACGUAGGUGGCGAGCGUUGUCCGGAAUUAUUGGGCGUAAAGGGAGCGCAGGCGGACAUAUAAGUCCAUCUUAAAAGUGCGGGGCUCAACCCCGUGAGGGGAUGGAAACUGUAUGCCUUGAGUGCAGGAGAGGAAAGCGGAAUUCCCAGUGUGGCGGUGAAAUGCGUAGAUAUUGGGAGGAACACCAGUGGCGAAGGCGGCUUUCUGGACUGUAACUGACGCUGAGGCUCGAAAGCCAGGGGAGCGAACGGGAUUAGAUACCCCAGUAGUCCCUGUCUCUUAUACA
rnacentral:rRNA from 1 species